GCCUGGGUGGCUCAGUCGGUUGAGCGGCUGACUUCGGCUCAGGUCAUGAUCUCACGGUCCGUGAGUUCGAGCCCCGCGUCGGGCU
rnacentral:tRNA from 1 species